AUUGAACGCUGGCGGCAUGCCUUACACAUGCAAGUCGAACGGUAACGGGUCUUCGGAUGCUGACGAGUGGCGAACGGGUGAGUAAUGCAUCGGAACGUGCCCAGUAGUGGGGGAUAGCCCGGCGAAAGCCGGAUUAAUACCGCAUACGACCUGAGGGUGAAAGGGGGGGAUCGCAAGACCUCUCGCUAUUGGAGCGGCCGAUGUCAGAUUAGCUUGUUGGUGGGGUAAAGGCCUACCAAGGCAACGAUCUGUAGUUGGUCUGAUAGGACGACCAGCCACAAUGGGACUGAGACACGGCCCAGACUCCUACGGGAGGCAGCAGUGGGGAAUUUUGGACCAUGGGCGCAAGCCUGAUCCAGCAAUGCCGCAUGCAGGAAGAAGGCCUUCGGGUUGUAAACUGCUUUUGUCAGGGAAGAAAUCUUCUGGGUUAAUACCUCGGGAGGAUGACGGUACCUGAAGAAUAAGCACCGGCUAACUACGUGCCAGCCGCCGCGGUAACAC
rnacentral:rRNA from 1 species